CCUACGGGCGGCUGCAGUGGGGAAUAUUGCACAAUGGGCGCAAGCCUGAUGCAGCCAUGCCGCGUGUGUGAAGAAGGCCUUCGGGUUGUAAAGCACUUUCAGCGGGGAGGAAGGCGGUGAGGUUAAUAACCUCAUCGAUUGACGUUACCCGCAGAAGAAGCACCGGCUAACUCCGUGCCAGCAGCCGCGGUAAUACGGAGGGUGCAAGCGUUAAUCGGAAUUACUGGGCGUAAAGCGCACGCAGGCGGUCUGUCAAGUCGGAUGUGAAAUCCCCGGGCUCAACCUGGGAACUGCAUUCGAAACUGGCAGGCUAGAGUCUUGUAGAGGGGGGUAGAAUUCCAGGUGUAGCGGUGAAACGCGUAGAGAUCUGGAGGAAUACCGGUGGCGAAGGCGGCCCCCUGGACAAAGACUGACGCUCAGGUGCGAAAGCGUGGGGAGCAAACAGGAUUAGAUACCCGUGUAGUC
rnacentral:rRNA from 1 species